rnacentral:rRNA from 1 species
UGAGGAAUCUUGGACAAUGGGGGCAACCCUGAUCCAGCGAUGCCGUGUGUGUGAAGACGGCCUGCGGGUUGUAAAGCACUUUAGCUGGGGAAGCAUUCACCAUCUUUGAAGAGGAGAUGGUGUUGACGGUACCCAGAGAAUAAGCACCGGCUAACUCUGUGCCAGCAGCCGCGGUAAUACAGAGGGUGCGAGCGUUAAUCGGACUUACUGGGCGUAAAGGGUGCGUAGGCGGAUAGCCAAGUCAGCUGUGAAAGGCCUGGGCUCAACCUGGGCAUGGCAGUUGAGACUGGUUAUCUUGAGUGGAGUAGAGGAGAGCGGAAUUUCCGGUGGAGCGGUGAAAUGCGUAGAUAUCGGAAAGAACACCGGUGGCGAAGGCGGCUCUCUGGACUCUGACUGACGCUGAGGCACGAAAGCGUGGGUAGCGAACA